rnacentral:rRNA from 1 species
CGCGUAGGUGGUCCUUCAAGUCAGAUGUUAAAUCUCCCGGCUUAACUGGGAGCUGUCAUUUGAUACUGCUGGACUCGAGGAUGGUAGAGGGAGGUGGAAUUCCCGGUGUAGUGGUGAAAUGCGUAGAUAUCGGGAGGAACACCAGUGGCGAAAGCGGCCUCCUAGGCCAUUCCUGACACUGAGGCGCGAAAGCGUGGGGAGCGAACAGGAUCAGAUACCCUGGUAGUCCACGCCCUAAACUGUGAAAACUAGGUACAGGGAGUAUCGACCCUUCCUGCGCCGUAGCUAACGCGUUAAGUUUUCCGCCUGGGGACUACGGUCGCAAGACUAAA